rnacentral:rRNA from 1 species
AUGGAAGAGAAAAUAGAAAAUGGACAAUUGAAAGCCGAGUGCAAUUAUUGUCACAAAAAAUUUACUGCAGGACCAAGAGCUGGCACAAAUCACUUGCAUUUGCAUUUGGAAUCUUGUCCUGCUAGGCAUGCACCCAUAGGCCCAAAGCAACAAAAAUUAAGGCUGACAAAAGGCGAAGGUGGCAAAGUGAAUUUGGAAAAUGUCAUUUUUGACCAAGAGAAGGCUAGGAGAGAUCUUGGGUUGAUGAUAUGUGAACAUGAGUAUCCUUUAUCUAUCGUGGAACAUAGUGGUUUUCGUAGAUUUUGUUCUUCUCUACAACCAUUGUUUAAGAUGGUGUGUAGAAAUACUAUUAGGAAUGAUAUUGUGGCUAUGCAUUCUGCCCAAAGGGAGAAGAUGGUGAAUUUUUUUGCAACAUUUAAACACUGA